rnacentral:rRNA from 2 species
CCUGGCUCAGGACGAACGCUGGCGGCGUGCCUAAUACAUGCAAGUCGAACGAACUCUGGUAUUGAUUGGUGCUUGCAUCAUGAUUUACAUUUGAGUGAGUGGCGAACUGGUGAGUAACACGUGGGAAACCUGCCCAGAAGCGGGGGAUAACACCUGGAAACAGAUGCUAAUACCGCAUAACAACUUGGACCGCAUGGUCCGAGCUUGAAAGAUGGCUUCGGCUAUCACUUUUGGAUGGUCCCGCGGCGUAUUAGCUAGAUGGUGGGGUAACGGCUCACCAUGGCAAUGAUACGUAGCCGACCUGAGAGGGUAAUCGGCCACAUUGGGACUGAGACACGGCCCAAACUCCUACGGGAGGCAGCAGUAGGGAAUCUUCCACAAUGGACGAAAGUCUGAUGGAGCAACGCCGCGUGAGUGAAGAAGGGUUUCGGCUCGUAAAACUCUGUUGUUAAAGAAGAACAUAUCUGAGAGUAACUGUUCAGGUAUUGACGGUAUUUAACCAGAAAGCCACGGCUAACUACGUGCCAGCAGCCGCGGUAAUACGUAGGUGGCAAGCGUUGUCCGGAUUUAUUGGGCGUAAAGCGAGCGCAGGCGGUUUUUUAAGUCUGAUGUGAAAGCCUUCGGCUCAACCGAAGAAGUGCAUCGGAAACUGGGAAACUUGAGUGCAGAAGAGGACAGUGGAACUCCAUGUGUAGCGGUGAAAUGCGUAGAUAUAUGGAAGAACACCAGUGGCGAAGGCGGCUGUCUGGUCUGUAACUGACGCUGAGGCUCGAAAGUAUGGGUAGCAAACAGGAUUAGAUACCCUGGUAGUCCAUACCGUAAACGAUGAAUGCUAAGUGUUGGAGGGUUUCCGCCCUUCAGUGCUGCAGCUAACGC